UCCAGACUCCUACGGGAGGCAGCAGUGAGGAAUAUUGGUCAAUGGGCUUACGCCUGAACCAGCCAAGUCGCGUGAGGGAAGACUGCCCUAUGGGUUGUAAACCUCUUUUGUCAGGGAGCAACGCCGGCUACGUGUAGCCGGACUGAGAGUACCUGGAGAAAAAGCAUCGGCUAACUCCGUGCCAGCAGCCGCGGUAAUACGGAGGAUGCGAGCGUUAUCCGGAUUUAUUGGGUUUAAAGGGUGCGUAGGCGGAGUGUCAAGUCAGCGGUAAAAUUUCGGGGCUCAACCCCGUCGUGCCGUUGAAACUGACGGUCUUGAGUGGGCGAGAAGUAUGCGGAAUGCGUGGUGUAGCGGUGAAAUGCAUAGAUAUCACGCAGAACUCCGAUUGCGAAGGCAGUAUACCGGCGCCCAACUGACGCUGAAGCACGAAAGCGUGGGUAUCGAACAGGAUUAGAUACCCCGGUA
rnacentral:rRNA from 1 species